GCACCCAGCGGACGCAGAGAAGGAGCAGCGGAUGGCAGCGUCUGUUCCUCUGACGGAGUGAGGACCCGCGUACUCUGAGCACACCAGCAACCCGUCUCCUGAAGGACCAGAGGAUUCUGAGGACCAGGGUGUGUGUGUGUGUGUGCGUGCGCGCGUGUGUGUUGCAGGGAGAGGUGAGGGGACAACGUAGGGGAAGGGCAGAGGAAGGAGAGGAUCCGAGGAGGAGAGGAGACAUAGACGGAGUCGAGCGGAGAGAGGUUCACCACGUUCUCUCCCCCUCUGCUUCCACC
ensembl:lncRNA